rnacentral:lncRNA from 1 species
AAUAAAUGCCUUCUGGACUGAAUUCAGGUGGGAGAAAUAAAAGGAAAAUGCAAGCCGUGUUUAGGAAACGAGCUAUCACACAAAAAUAAAACAGAAAAAGGAAAUAAAUUUUCACGAGCAACAUCUCCUAACUUCAAUAUCCAGAGAGAAAUUAAGAAAAUAAGAGGAAAGAUGAAAGCCUAACAAGAUUUAAGAAGAAAGUUUUCCAUUAUUCAUUUAAUUCACUUUUAG